rnacentral:rRNA from 1 species
UGGGGAAUAUUGCACAAUGGGGGAAACCCUGAUGCAGCGACGCCGCGUGAGCGAAGAAGUAUUUCGGUAUGUAAAGCUCUAUCAGCAGGGAAGAAGAAAUGACGGUACCUGACUAAGAAGCACCGGCUAAAUACGUGCCAGCAGCCGCGGUAAUACGUAUGGUGCAAGCGUUAUCCGGAUUUACUGGGUGUAAAGGGAGCGCAGGCGGAAGGCUAAGUCUGAUGUGAAAGCCCGGGGCUCAACCCCGGUACUGCAUUGGAAACUGGUCAUCUAGAGUGUCGGAGGGGUAAGUGGAAUUCCUAGUGUAGCGGUGAAAUGCGUAGAUAUUAGGAGGAACACCAGUGGCGAAGGCGGCUUACUGGACGAUAACUGACGCUGAGGCUCGAAAGCGUGGGGAGCA